UGGGUAUGACUGAGAAAUCUGUG
rnacentral:piRNA from 1 species